AUUAUUUUGCAUUAUUCCUCGUAUAUUUAAAAAAAUGUUCAACCACCUUUUUUUGUUUCAUCGUUAAUCGUAAUUAAAAUAAUACUGCUACCUUAAAAAUAUUUUGCGCCGUACGAUACUGCAUUUCAUAAUGAUCAACCGUUGCCAUUAAGGUAAUGAUCGUUUUUUUGUUUCGUUUGAAUCGUUCGAAAGUGUUCGUUCAUAUUGAACUCAUUAUUAAUUUAUUUUCAUAAUAUCUAACGUAAUAUUACAGUAGCAUACAAUUUUAUUCUGUCUGAUAAUAUGGAAAAGAAAGAAAGAAAGAAGAAAAAAAAGAAAAAAAGAAAAAUGAAAAAAGAAACCCAUCGAUGAGAGUACAAUCGUCGUUAGUUGAAGAAGAUUCACAAUGAUACGAGGAAUUUACAAACAAUUGCAUUGAGAAUUAAACGGGAUUACUUUUUUCUAUCGAAAUCAAAUCAAGACCAGUUAAUAGGAAGUUCCAUAGUAUGGAAUUUGCCCUUGGGCAUAUCUUUCUCUACGUAUAGAUGAAAUCACAACCGUAGAUAGAGAAACGGAAAUAAGAAAGUUUCUUAUCCCCACGAAGAUUUACGAGUCAACUUUUUUUUGAGGUGAUUUUUAUGAUCACUUAGAACUGACGAUCUUUCGGUCAAGCCGUCUGCUGUUGCUUCCUGCCAGGUCAAAGACCUAACAGCCCUUAGAAGGCCGUCUUCAGACUUUCGGUGAAAGUACAUACAUAUAUUUCGUCCUUGAACUGGAAGCCUUCGAACGAUCGACGCAGUGAAAUAUUUCAUGGUGUAUCAUAUAAUCUUCGAAAGGAGAAACAUGAAUUGAUCAAACUUUCGGCUGCCUCCUGAUACAUCAUUGACAUUCUUGAAGUUGUGAUAUCUGGUCGAUGUCCUUGAUGCAUACAAGCACAAUAAAGUGGAUGUAAUAUAAUACACAUAGGACUUUUUCUAACUCUAAGAGAAAUCGUGACAUCUUGUCAAAAAUCUUCGCCAAUUAUCUUGGCCGCCAGCGCACCAGCUAACUCCACGUGCUUCAAUGAAAGUUCCAAUAGCGAAUUCUUCCAAAGCACCACUACCAGCUACGAGAGAAUCACCAAGACCACCGAUCACAUCAAUGUCACCCGGUCUUAAUCUAUGAACACUUUCCGCAAACCUGCCGAAACGAAUGUUACAAGGAAAUGGUACUGCGUCUGGUAUGACUGGCUGCCUUCGUACACCAUCGAAAAUCAUUGGAUAAACUAUACCAUUGGUAUUGAGAUCUUCCUGGAAUAAGAGAAAAGAGGAGAAGAAGAAUCUCAGAAAAAAAAAGAAAGAAAGAAAGAAAGAAAGAAAGAUGAGAGAAAAUUUCAAACAAGUAAUACAGUAAUACAUUUCUAAUUUUCAUCCGUGUUAUAAGAGUUAUUUAUUCGGGGGAAAAAAAAGAAGCAUUUAAUGAAUGCAUUAGAAUUAUGGUAUUUUUAUUCUUUGAAUAAACUGUACGAGUCACGUUCUAGGAUAAUUUUGAAAGGGAAUGAGAAAAUUAAAUUGGACGAAAUGAAACGUAAGAAUUGUGAAGAAAUGAUUUCCUCAAUGAUAUCUUAUAUCUCUUACGUGUAUAUGUAUGUAUAACAUAAUACAUUUUAUAAAAAGAAAUCUACUUGAA